rnacentral:rRNA from 1 species
AGUGAACGCUGGCGGCAGGCCUAAUACAUGCAAGUCGAACGGCAGCACAGCAGAGCUUGCUCUGUGGGUGGCGAGUGGCGGACGGGUGAGGAAUACAUGGGAAUCUGCCCAGUCGUGGGGGAUAACGUAUGGAAACGUACGCUAAUACCGCAUGCGCCCUACGGGGGAAAGCCGGGGACCGAAAGGCCUGGCGCGAUUGGAUGAGCCCAUGUUCGAUUAGCUAGUUGGCGGGGUAAAGGCCCACCAAGGCGACGAUCGAUAGCUGGUCUGAGAGGAUGAUCAGCCACACUGGAACUGAGACACGGUCCAGACUCCUACGGGAGGCAGCAGUAGGGAAUAUUGGACAAUGGGGGCAACCCUGACCCAGCCAUGCCGCGUGAGUGAAGAAGGCCCUCGGGUUGUAAAGCUCUUUUGUCCGGAAAGAAAGCAUUCGGUUAAUACCCGGGUGUUCUGACGGUACCGGAAGAAUAAGCACCGGCUAACUUCGUGCCAGCAGCC